AUUGAACGCUGGCGGCAGGCCUAACACAUGCAAGUCGAGCGGAUGAAUGGAGCUUGCUCCUGGAUUCAGCGGCGGACGGGUGAGUAAUGCCUAUGAAUCUGCCUGGUAGUGGGGGAUAACGUCCGGAAACGGGCGCUAAUACCGCAUACGUCGAGAUGUAGAAAUUGGGGGGGCUUCGGACCUCACGCUUUCAUGUGAGGCUAGGUCGGAUUAACUGGGUGGUGGGGUAAAGGGCUACCAAGGCGACGAUGCGUAACUGGGCUUAGAGGAUGACCCGUCACACUGUAACUGAGACUCGGUCCAGACUCCUACGGGAGGCCGCAGUCGGGAAUCUUGCACGAUGGAGGAAUGCCUGAUACAGCCCUGCCGCGUGUGUCCAGAAGGUCUUCGGAUUGUAAAGCAAUUUAAGUUGUGAGGAAGGGAAGUAAGUUAAUCCCUUGCUGUAUUGACGUUACCAACAGAAUAAGCACCGGCUAACUUCGUG
rnacentral:rRNA from 1 species